UCAAACAGAAAAACUUGAUUUAUUUAAAACUUCAAUAUUGUUUUUGAAAUUGAGUCUUGAUUCGCGACUUAAAAGAAUAGAUUCACUAUCCUGAUAAUCUAACCUUUCCUUUUUAUAUUUUAUCGCGUUGAAAGAGACGAGUUUUCAAAUCAACGCACUUGAAAAUCGCUCAAAAAUCUAACUCUCUACUCUAAAAUUUAGCUUUUAUAUUUCUCUUCCUACUCCUAACUUGGGUCCCUUUUCCCCCAAUUACUCUGUCAUCCAAUUACAGCAUACGGUUUGGAGUCCAUGUUAUGUUUUAUUACCAAUCACAUUCAUUCUCUGCCCAUUUUUUCAGGUACCAUCUUGGAUUUUUACACAUGAUUCACUCAACAUUUCCGCAACGUAUUUUCUUAAAAUGAGUCAUAAUAAUUGCGUUUUACUAAUGCAUGGUUUCCCUAAUAUUUUAUUUUUGAACAAUUUUCACCCUCUUUUGAUUGACAUAUAAAAUUUCUCUCACAAGAUUUCUAGUCUUUUACGCAGUAUUCUUGUUUUUUCUGAGAAUUUCUAUGAUUUAUCCCUUUUAUUACCUCAAUUUUAUGGAUUUAUUUAUUUAAUACGCAAAAGAUUUUGCGUUUAGAGACACCUGCACAUUUAUUAUGAAUUUUAUCUCUUUAUUUGUGAAUAUUUUACGACUUGAAAUUUUAUUAUUCUACGUUUUAUCCUAAAUUAAAUGUUGAUUACAUUUCUUUAUUUUAUGCGUAUAAUUUUAUUAUAAUUAUAAUUUUAUAAUUAUCAAGACUCAAUUUUUUUUUUCUGCAGCGAAGCUUAACAAGUACUCGUAUUCACCUAGAACAAUCCUCUAGAGAAAAGGGGAAACUGCAGAAAACCCUUUCUGAGUACUUAUCUAAAAAUAAUUAUUAACAUUAAUUAUUAAAUUACUUGAAUAUUUUCUUUAUGAAUUUUAUAAUCUUAACCCAAUUUGUUUGUACCCAACGUUUAACUUUUCAUUAUUUUAUUUUAUUAUUAUUUAUUUAUAAGAUUCUAAUUUCAAUAAUCACUCUAAUUGUUUUAUUAAGAUUAUUAUAUAUAAUCUCAAAUCGAUUUUUAAAAUUAAAUAUAUACAUAUUAUUUUCUAAAUAUUUAUUUUUGUGAAUAAGUCGGCUCAAAAUCCAUAAAUCAGACCAUUUUUGCAACAAUUUACAUAUAUAAAUUACCAUUUAUAUUUUACAUUCACAUUUUACGUUAUGUUACGUAAGUUUUUACAUUUUCUCAUAAUGUUAUUGUAGAAUCGGCCUUCGGGAAGCACUCCCAACCUCUAAACAGUGACCCAACCUAGACCUGACAAUGUUACACUCUCCCCCUUAUAGAAAAAAUUCGAUCUCAAGAGCGAAUUUUUUUUCAAUAUUAUACUAUAUAAUAAUAAAUAAUAUAAUGAGUGAAAUGGUGCUCGAAAGGAACUAUUUGUGCAUUCUUUUCGUUAUUGUUUUGGAUUAUUGUUGGCCAAUAUUUCAUCAGAUAAGCAUAAUUUUAUACAUAAUUCUUUAGAUCCCCUUUUAUAAUCUCUUUGGAAUCCCGGGACCAAGUUAAUUUUUUGUAAAAAAAAAAGGCUGUUUUCUACGUUUUUAUAACAAUAUUUUAUUAGUAAGUAUAUUGUUUUGUGCUUCCUCGUCAUGUCAUUGUUUUAUCCUAACCCCCCUUUUUUCUGAAGCCAAUUAUUUCUAAACCCGUAUUCAAAAGAAGAAUUUCUGGUCCAAAAUACAAAAUGGAAUAUCCCAUAUGUCAUCAGAAACCAUUGUCAAUACACAGAAUCAAGAACAAGUCUAGGAUUCAAACCGGCCAAACAAUAUCCCCAACAAACCACAAUUAAAAGGAUUCAAGAAAAACGACAAAUGGACUCAUAGAAAAUCUAAAACCAGGUAAACAACUUUAUUAAAUUGAGACCGCCUAAUGUAAAACUAAUUUUAACCUUCAGUACCAAACUUAAAAAAAAGGUUGUAACAUUAACUUGAAAACCUGUGAUCCUGUCAAUUUCAGUUUAAAAAUAUGUAAAUAUCCAUACAAUAUUUUCAUAUAUAUAUAUAUACAUACACAUAUACAUAUAUAUACACAUAUACACAUAUAUAUAU